CUGAGCAGCCCUGGAAAUUUUUUUCUGGCAGAUCGUUGCAUGUGGUUAUGAGAUGGUCAUACCACCUUUGUGUGUUUUGGGGCAUCUGAAAUUGAGGACUUCAGAAUGAGACAAUCUAUUUCACAUACUACAUAAUAAUGUUGAAGCAAUUUUAUUUCUUUAAAAAAGCCCUACAGGGUGGAUUAGGAGAUAGUACGUUUUUGACAUUAUGGGACCUUCUAGAAUCCUGGAUUUCUCAAAAUGUUUGGAUAGCAAUCUUCUUUAUAAUUUCCUUAGGAAUUAUUUUUGAGAUGGUACUCAUAAAGAUUUGUACAUCCUUUCAGAAGAAGCCUGCACUUCCAGAAAAGAGUAAUUCAGAUGCCCAGGAGAAGGAACACAGUUGCCUGAAAAGCAUGAAAUUUGACAAUUGGUCAAUUCAUUCAUCUUCAGAGGAAAGAAUUGAUGACUUUUCAGAAGGAACAAGCACUUCAUUACUUACAUCUGAAGAAAAUGAAGGUUACUUCAAAGACAGAGUUUUAUCAGCAGAUGAAAUAACAUGGGCAGGUAGCAGUGAAGCAAAGGAAAUUUCUCUAAGCCAUAGAGGGUAUCCAGAAAAUGAACGUGAAGCAAUACAAUCUUCAUCAAAGAAAUUAUUUUCAAUGAUGAAAACCAACAAAACUAAAAAUUUAAUGUUUUCUUCUGACUUUAACUUUUCAAGAACUUCUAGAAUCACUAUGGAAAGUGAAGAUCUAGAUGUGGCAUCAUGCCCGUCUGCCCAUUUAUUUCUUUCUAGAGAC
rnacentral:lncRNA from 1 species